UACAGAGGAGCCAAGCGUCGUCCGGAUUUACUGGGCGUAAAGCGCACGCAGGCGGACGCGCGCGUGGGGUGUGAAAUCUGGCCGCUUAACGGCCAGGCGCCAUCCCAUACGGCGCGUCUGGAGCCUUGCAGAGGUCGGUGGAAUUGCCGGUGUAGUGGUGAAAUGCGUAGAGAUCAGGAAGAACAUCGGUGGCGAAGGCGCUCUGCUGGACCAUAACUGACACUCAGGGACGAAAGCUAGGGGAGCGAAUGGG
rnacentral:rRNA from 1 species